GGAGGGAUGGCCGAGAGGUUUAAAGCGUCGGAUUGCUAAUCCGUUGUACAAUGUCUUUGUACCGAGGGUUCGAAUCCCUCUCUCUCCU
rnacentral:tRNA from 1 species